GACGUAGGGCGCGAGCGUUGUCCGGAUUUAUUGGGCGUAAAGAGCUCGUAGGCGGCUUGUCGCGUCGUCCGUGAAAACCUGCAGCUCAACUGCAGGCUUGCGGGCGAUACGGGCAGGCUAGAGUUCGGUAGGGGGAGACUGGAAUUCCUGGUGUAGCGGUGAAAUGCGCAGAUAUCAGGAGGAACACCGGUGGCGAAGGCGGGACUCUGGGCCGAUACUGACGCUGAGGAGCGAAAGCGUGGGGAGCGAACAGGA
rnacentral:rRNA from 1 species